rnacentral:lncRNA from 1 species
UGUUAUAUGCCUACUACAGUAGAAAAGGAUCGAGAGACGAAGCCAGACGGCCAUUACUAGUCACACAUACAUGAGCGUGCAAGAGAAACAAGGUUGAGUUUGAAAAGCUAUUUACUGUUAUAUGCGGCUUUUCUAUUUCUCGUUGAGUUUCCUGAUCAUGGUUGCGUCUCCAUCACACGUUUAAAGCGCCAUUUUAAUGAUCUGUGCAAACUUUGGUGUCUCGUUUCAAUUGUGUGUCACAUUCGUUAAACAAACAUGGGGGGCCUAUGGUGGAUGGAUAAUAGCUCCAGCUCUGUUGCCAUCUUCCAUAAUAUCUGUUCCCUUUAUCUGAAAGCAAGAACAACAAUAGAGUAGUUGUCCGUACAGGUAAGCAAGACUUGUAAUGUUUGCCAAGUUCACGAGUGAAGAUCUCUACCAAGUUUCAUUUUAAUAUAAUCCAAGAGUAAGAGAACUUGCGAAGCAAUAUAUGUUUAUUGUACGAAAUGGUGCCUUGCAACAAAAGGAGGCCGGCUCAAAGCUGAUUUAGCCAAGGAAGGUUAAGAAGCGUAACUUCUUGUGCGAACAAAUACAUUUUAGCAUGAAUUAUAACUUGGACCAAGUUACUUGGUGGUCAAUGGUGGUGUCACUUUCUUGCAGCAAAUUGCUGUUUGAGUUUUUUUUCUUCUUUUGCGCGGAAAAUUGAUGUUUGAGCAUGGCUUGCACGUUUUGUGAUUUUUCUAGAAGGCUACAGACAGAACAUGCACCGGUCAACAGAUAUACUGUAUUUCAGACGCAAUACUACUGCAUGGUCUGAACUUUUUCCUCUCCCAAAUUUCAGAUGGAUGAUUCUUAGGGCAUGUACAGUACAGCCAUCGCUGUAAGCCUACAGCCUGCUGUUCAGGGUUGAGGUUCUCUGCAUUAUUUUGCUUAUGUAAAAAGGUGGAGUAGUGCUAGUUUUAAGGUCCUCGAGUCAUUUGUUUAUAUUGUUCUUUCCGGUGAGCCAUUAUUUGUAUAUUUGAUGCUAUGUACGGCGAGCAUUAAUGGAUCACUAAUGUGCAGACUUGAUGGAUGUAUCAUGUAUGUGAUCUGUACAAGUGUAGAAUACCAGUGAUACCAACUUCCACAUGAUCCCAUGCUCCCAUUUGAAAAAAAUAUUAAUUUUAAAUAUUUUCCAGAAAUUCUGGGAAAAAAGUAUGAAUGUUCACAAGGAAUGUGUCUGCAACCCCUAAAAUUUCAGGCCCAAAUUUGAAAUGCACAUUGCCAAACAAAAAAGACAAAUCCUGACGUAAAUAGUGUCAAUUUUACUUUUCUUUUUGUGUCACUAUUCAUACUAGAUUUGUCUUUUUUUGUUUCUCAAUGUGUAUCUCAAAUUUGAAUCUGAUUUUUUUUCAGGGGUUGUAGACACAUAUCUUAUGAACUUCCACACAAAUUUUUCGUAUUUUUUGAAGGUAUCAUGGGAGCAUUUAAGAAUGGUAUCACCUAAUAUUCUCACGAAGAGUACAAUACAAUAAUAAAGAACUUUACGAUUUUGAGUUGAAAUAUUGAACUGAACGAACUCUCAGGACAAUUUUUUUUUGCAUUUACUUAGUCGUAUAGGAAAGAAUGCACAAUUGCUCCUAUAAAGGAUGCCCUCCACGCUGUUCGCUUCGCGCGCGCCUCCUGCCAAUGUUUGACGUGUGGGCCCACUUUCCUGUGGUGGUUUUUGUCGCACCCAUGUGCUUCGUUUCGUGCACUGCUCUGUGCGCGCUAGAUGAAGCUGGAUCGGUUUGUUAGCGUCAUUUGCUCGCUGUAGGGUUGAUUCGCACAGGCGAGCUGGCUGCGCGUGCGCGCUCGGCUACUAUCCCGUCCAAAAGCCGGACGGUGGUGUCCAUGGGUCACGACGGCAGGCCAGCUAGCGAGCCAGCCAACAUUAAAAAUUUGAAACAAAGAAAAAUGAAAAAAGAAGAAAAAGAACAAAGAAACAAAAAAAAAA